UACUGAAGGUGCAAGCGUUAAUCGGAAUCACUGGGCGUAAAGCGCUCGUAGGUGGCUUUGUAAGUCAGGUGUGAAAGCCCACGGCUCAACCGUGGAAUUGCACUUGAUACUGCAUCGCUAGAGUAUAGGAGAGGGAAGUGGAAUUUCUGGUGUAGGAGUGAAAUCCGUAGAGAUCAGAAGGAACACCCGUGGCGAAGGCGACUUCCUGGACUAUUACUGACACUGAGGAGCGAAAGCGUGGGGAGCAAACAGG
rnacentral:rRNA from 2 species